rnacentral:rRNA from 1 species
AGGGAAUAUUCGUCAAUGGGGGCAACCCUGACCGAGCAACGCCGCGUGAGUGAAGAAGGUUUUCGGAUCUUAAAGAUCUGUGGUAAGUCAAGAGAAGGGUGUGCGAGUGGAAAGUUCACACUGUGACGGUAGUUUACCAGAAAGGGACGGCUAACUACGUGCCAGCAGCCGCGGUAAUACGUAGGUCCCGAGCGUUUUCCGGAUUUAUUGGGCGUAAAGCGAGCGCGGGCGGUUUGAUAAUUUUAAAGUUAAAGGCUCUGGCUCACCCAUAGUUCGCUUUGGAAACUGUCAAACUUGAGUGCAGAAGGGGAGAGUGGAAUUCCAUGUGUAGCGGUGAAAUGAGUAGAGAUAUGGAGGGACACAAGGUGGGGAGAGCGGCUCUCUGGUCGGUAACUGACGCUGAGGCUCGAUAGAGUGGGGAGCGAACAGGAUUAGAUACCCGGUAGUCCAUGCCGUAAACGAUGAAUGAUAGGUGUUGGAUCCUUUCCGGGAUUCAGUGCCGCAGAUAACACACUAGCACACCCCCCCGGGGUAGACC